AUCGGCCUCUUCCGAAAGAGCGCAAGCCACCCCGCAAAAGGGGGAAUGAAACGGUUCCUGCUGUAUCCUUGGAUGAGCCAGAAACGUCAGUGGGGAGGGCCCCGGACGCUGAACCAGUGGGCAGUUUAUUUUCUGCCUCCUCGGACAACACAGCAACGUCAAUA